AGCAUAUCAAUAAGCGGAGGAAAAGAAACCAACAGGGAUUGCCCCAGUAACGGCGAGUGAAGCGGCAAAAGCUCAAAUUUGAAAUCUGGCCCCCUUCGCGGAGGUCCGAGUUGUAAUUUGCAGAGGAUGCUUCUGGCGCGGCGCCUUCCGAGUUCCCUGGAACGGGACGCCACAGAGGGUGAGAGCCCCGUCCGGUCGGACGCCUAGCCUGUGUGAAGCACCUUCGACGAGUCGGGUAGUUUGGGAAUGCUGCCCUAAAUGGGAGGUAUAUGUCUUCUAAAGCUAAAUACCGGCCAGAGACCGAUAGCGCACAAGUAGAGUGAUCGAAAGAUGAAAAGCACUUUGAAAAGAGGGUUAAACAGUACGUGAAAUUGUUGAAAGGGAAGCGCUCAUGACCAGACUUGGGCCCGGGGGAUCACCCGGCGUUCUUCGCCGGGGCACUUCGCCGGCUGCCCAGGCCAGCAUCAGUUCGUGGCGGGGGACAAAGGCUUCGGGAACGUGGCUCCCUACGGGGAGUGUUAUAGCCCGCUGCGCAAUGCCCUGCCGCGGACUGAGGUUCGCGCUUCCGCAAGGAUGCUGGCGUAAUGGUCAUCAGCGACCCGUCUUGAAACACGGACCAAGGAGUCGUCUUCGUAUGCGAGUGUUCGGGUGUCAAACCCCUACGCGUAAUGAAAGUGAACGCAGGUGAGAGCUUCGGCGCAUCACCGACCGAUCCUGAUGUUCUCGGAUGGAUUUGAGUACGAGCAUACGGGGCCGGACCCGAAAGAAGGUGAACUAUGCCUGUAUAGGGUGAAGCCAGAGGAAACUCUGGUGGAGGCUCGCAGCGGUUCUGACGUGCAAAUCGAUCGUCAAAUAUGGGCAUGGGGGCGAAAGACUAAUCGA
rnacentral:rRNA from 1 species